UCGAAGGAGGCUAGCGAGGGUGUUCCCAAGAGGAAGCAAUCAUUCACCGUGGAGAUUGUGUGUGUCUCGUUCUUGAUAAUGUUCGUUAUUAACUACUUCACCGGGAAACGAGAGAAUGAGAACAUCGCCCUCGCCUGGGCUGCGAAAUUCGCUACCAAGGAUUCAAUCUUCGAGAAGAAUUUUAGUCUUCUGGGAGUCGGGGAAGGGGAUAUAUUCACCCUUGCUGUUGAAAGAAGGGUAGAACGUGUUCAAGUUCUACGCUAGCGGCCGGAGGUUUUGCCAAGGGAUGUUGGCGACGAUGGAGUUGAAGAGCAGGGCACGAUUUGAUUGCCAAGUUGUACAAUGUGGUGGUUCCCUGUAAGGAUGAGAUCACAUUCCAAGUUUAUAUGAAUGACAAUGCCAUGGACCAAGUGUUUUUCGCAAUGGCCAAGAAGAAAGCUGCCAAAGCUAUGCAGAAGGAGGUUUAUGGAGUGUUAGGCCAUCUCCUUUGGUUUUUUUGUGAAACAGAGAUAAAUGGAGCGAGAGGAAGAAAAAGAGAGGGGGAAUAGAAUUGGUCAACUCUCACCCAGCGGCUCAAUGCAAGGGAGUCUCACCAAGUUCAACUUGGAGUUUGUGAACGGUGAAUUUACUGAAGCGGAGCUGAAGAAGAUUAUGUCCAAUGACAAGCUUACUGAGCUUGCAAUGGCUGAUCCAAAGCGUGUCAAAAGGUUUUAUUCAAUCACCCCUUCCAGUUUUAAUUUGAGAUAUUAGCUAAUCCAUAUAUGUUUAAAUGCUGAAAUGUCUCAUCCAGGAUCUUGGCAAAUCGUCUAUCUGCUGCUCGGUCCAAGGAGCGAAAAAUGAGGUACAUUUCUGAAUUAGAGCAAAAGGUGCAAACUUUACAGGCCGAAGCCACUACAUUGUCAGCCCAGGUUACGGUGUUACAGGUUGGUAUCACCAUCAAUAUUUGCUCCUGCCAUAUCCUUAUACUCUUUUAUUCCUCAACUAAUCUCCAAUCAUCCCACCUUAUAGCGUGAUUCUUCAAAUCUGACAAAUCAGAACCAUGAACUGAAGUUUCGCCUUCAAGCAAUGGAACAACAGGCCCAACUCAAAGAUGGUGAGUUCUCGAGUGCUUGCUUGGUCUUAUUCGUUUUCUGUAGAAUCUGAAAAAGGGAAUACCUACAAAUAUGAGGAAAUUAUGGUUCAUAAUUGUCCUUGAUGAAGCUUGACCUUGUUGGAAUGUGGAUAGAAUUUUCUUUGGUCCUGUUCCUGCUUUCCUGCCGUUUUGCUAAAUAUCCUAACCUUGAAAGCCUUUUCUGUCCUCAAGAAACUUAUUCAAGGUUCUCGACAUUGUACUUGCCCCCUUGACAGUGACUUUAGUUUGAAGUUGAUCUCUUUCAAUGUGAGCCAAAAAUGCUGAUUUGUUUGAUUUGAUGUGGCAGCUCUAAAUGAAGCAUUAGUUGGUGAAGUCCAACGACUGAGGCUUGCUGCCACAGAUGUUGGAGCAGAUACUAGUCAUCAUCAUCAUCAGCAGCAGCAGCAGCUUCUUGGUAAUAUAAUGCAGCAACAGAAUGCAUAUCAGCAUCAGAGACAACGAUCAACACAGCUAAACCAAGCGCAGAGCAGCAAAUGAGUCGGACAAAGAUAGGAGCUCGGGUAAUUUGAAGAAAAAUUGCACAUUCUUAAAUACAUAAAAGUCAAUAUAGAGUACAAAAAUCAUAUGAUAUAGAGAGAUGAAACAUUCAAAUUUACAGAUAUCAUUCUUUUGGUGGGUGAAACAAAGUAAGAAAGGGGUGGUUUACUACUUUAGGUGGAGGGAGAAACUUGUGAUUAUAGAUUACUAGAGAUGAUUCAGUAUUUGAAACCAUUGUCCUGUAGGUUUAACAUUUUUUCGUAUACAUCCUAAGGUUGUAUUUUUCAGCUUUUUUAUCAAAGUGGUAAAUGUCGUCCCCGAUUUCCAUCGAAUUUCGUCUACCAUGUCAGUUUGUAUUGGCCAUGCAUGCCAUGUCGUCAUUAAUCCUAAUCAUUAAUCAACAAAUUAAAAAUUAAAAAAAAACAAAAUUCUCUAUUUAACAACACUGUCAUCCUCUCUCUCUACAACACUACUUCUCCUAUCGCUUCUCUCUUCCUCCGUCCUCCGACUCGAUCUGAUCCACCGCCACCAGAAGAACAGCCAAACUGGGAUUCCAGUAUUUUCUGAAGAGAUGAUGAUCCCUCAGCAUCGAGCUUUGGCGCAGAGUAAAUAGCUUCUUUCUCCUGUCUCCAUCACCCCAAUUCCAAACCUACUUUCACUAAAUCUGAUGUUUCCAAAUCCAAAACCGAUUCUCCGUCUACUACAACUUUCAGCUUGGACUACUGGGACGAAGACGAGUUCGAAGGUCUCCCGAAUCAGCCUCAAAAUCCAGCUGUUGAUAAUACUCCAAUCACUCCCUCAACUACUGAAGGAAGUAAAACAUCAUAUCCGAAUUCGAAGGAGGCUAGCGAGGGUGUUCCCAAGAGGAAGCAAUCAUUCACCGUGGAGAUUGUGUGUGUCUCGUUCUUGAUAAUGUUCGUUAUUAACUACUUCACCGGGAAACGAGAGAAUGAGAACAUCGCCCUCGCCUGGGCUGCGAAAUUCGCUACCAAGGAUUCAAUCUUCGAGAAGAAUU
rnacentral:lncRNA from 1 species